rnacentral:pre_miRNA from 1 species
UCCACACCCAUGUGCGUAGGACCCUAAAGGAUCACUAUUAAAUUUGGCACAGGAAUCUAGAAAAGUUAUCACAUGGGUGUGGGACUUGACUUUUCUAGAUAUCUGCACCAAAUUUAAUGGUGAUCCUUUGGGUCUUAUGCACAUGGGUGUGGG